ACGGAAGGCAGCAGUGGGGAAUAUUGCACAAUGGGGGGAACCCUGAUGCAGCGAUGCCGCGUGGAGGAAGAAGGUUUUCGGAUUGUAAACUCCUGUCUUAAAGGACGAUAAUGACGGUACUUUAGGAGGAAGCUCCGGCUAACUACGUGCCAGCAGCCGCGGUAAUACGUAGGGAGCGAGCGUUGUCCGGAAUUACUGGGUGUAAAGGGAGCGUAGGCGGGAUUGCAAGUCAGAUGUGAAAACUAUGGGCUCAACCCAUAGACUGCAUUUGAAACUGUAGUUCUUGAGUGAAGUAGAGGUAAGCGGAAUUCCUGGUGUAGCGGUGAAAUGCGUAGAUAUCAGGAGGAACACCAGUGGCGAAGGCGGCUUACUGGACCACAACUGACGCUGAGACACGAAAGCGUGGGGAGCAAACAGGAUUAGAUACCCUGGUA
rnacentral:rRNA from 1 species